CCCUUAGAUGUUCUGGGCCGCACGCGCGCUACACUGAUGCAUUCAACAAGCCUAGCCUUGACCGAGAGGUCCGGGUAAUCUUUGAAACUGCAUCGUGAUGGGGCUAGAUUAUUGCAAUUAUUAAUCUUCAACGAGGAAUGCCUAGUAAGCGUGAUUCAUCAAAUCGCGUUGAUUACGUCCCUGCCCUUUGUACACACCGCCCGUCGCCCCUACCGAUUGAAUGUGUUGGUGAGGAGCUCGGAUUGGCAGCAGUUGGUGGUUCGCCACCGGCUAUUGCUGAGAAGUCCUCCAAACCGCCCCAUUUAGAGGAAGGAGAAGUCGUANCA
rnacentral:rRNA from 1 species